GCCGCCGACCGGGGCGGAGCCGCCCGGGCCUCCCCGUGAGCCCGGGAAGCCGAGGCGGGCAGGCCAGGCCGCGGCUUCCAGCUCCGGCCGUGAGACAUUUAAAAAUCUGGUAUCAUGAUGUGAAUUAAAAGGAAGGAAGGUGGAGAUUUCUGCAAUAAGAGGUGGAUCCGCUGCUUGGCAAAAAAAGCACAACCCAAAAGAUGUUUAUAAACCAACUGUUCUGAAAGCUGGUCUGCGCACUCUUCCUUUCCUAAAGGAUUGUCAGUUCUUUUUCUGCUUUUUCAUCCUUCAAGGUACAGGGUAGUAUUUUCCCGGGACUGGAACAUCUGUCUGCGGUUGAGUGCAAAAUGCCCUUCUAGUGACAGCACGUGAAUUUGCUUCCAAGUAAACCAAGGCUUAAACCAGUACGUGAACUUUGGGGUCAAAGAAUGUAAUGGGGUGGGAUGGAAAACUAAGAGAGGAGGUUUUCUAUUAAGUGCCUUGAGAUGUGAAUUCACAAAUAUUUCAGCUGGAUUAAAUUCCUUGUUAAGGACUAACCUCUGAAAGCAUCUACUUUCUGCAACAUCUGCUGUGGAAAGGAGACUUGGGCACUGGAGCUGUAACUACCCUCUCGCUAGCUUGAGAGAGAAACAGAUGGAGUCUCAGGGAAGAUGUAGUAUUGAAAAUCACUGUGAUUUGGACCUCACUUGUAGUUCUUUAAUUUCCCCCAAGAGAAAAUUGUCAGAUUGGAGCACAGGCAUAAUAUAUUUCUGCCUUUGUGUGUAUGUGCCUUACUGAGUCAGAAUCUGGCCUCGAUCACUUCCUAUGCUCCGGUGACCUCUCUGCAUGAACCUCCUCAGCUGUGAGACCUGCCAUCCUAGUGGGAGCUGCAGAGGUCUGCGAUGAAUUCAUUCUCACCCCUGCUUCAAGCCCAGCGUGGAGCUGUGCUGCCCGGGAGGAGCUCCAGACACAAACCGUGACCCACAAACACUCGUCAGCUGCGGUUCCGUGGAAGAUGCUGGCUUCCACGGGGAGGGAAGGCUGCUGUACUGGUUUAACACCAGAGGCAAUAAAUCUGUGUAAUCACGAACAGGCAGGAGCCGUCGUUGCACCUAUUUUAUUGUCUUCUCUGUACUUUCCGAUGGAUGGGAGCAUCUGGGGGUAGAGGAACUGCAGUGCUCUCCUCGCCGCGUGGAGCAUGGUGUCCAAAGGACCGCUGGUGGAAAAGUCUUGUGGUAGCUUUGGGAUGGAUCGCAAGAAAGGCCAAGAUGAAAAAUUUCACAAUAAAAAUAAUCAAGUUCAUUACAGGGUCUGAGCCCAGAAAACUUCUAAUAAUAACUAAAAGUUUUGGAGGGAACUCAUAAAAAUUACUUAGGAGGACUAGUAAGAUCUGCACUCUUAUCCUUAACUUGUACAAGGAAAAAGUAUUAAGCAUUCUACUUUUUUUUUGUUACAUUUUUGUUCUGUUGCGCAUACUCAGGAGACCCCUUUAUUUCAAAUUUAAAAUAGUCUAUGAAAAUCUGUAUUGACGUAAUAGCUUAUUAGGCUACAAGCAAAAUAUUCCCAGAACUAAUUUUUAAUUAAUAUAG